CUCAAAUUUUAGAAAGUAUUUCAUAUUUCUUAGAGAAACAAGCCGUGCUCAUUUUUUGUUUGUUUGUUUUUUGUUUUUUAAAAGGGCAGGGGGACUACAAUGCCAGGAGCCAGAGAGCUUGUCAGAGAACAGCCUGGCCAGGCAUGGUGCUCCAUCUGAGUGCCGAGUCAGAGCAUGCCCAGCCUUUGGCAUUUUCCUAUGAUCAUGGACAGCAUCAAUCUUACAGCCUGGAAUGGAAACAGGAUAAAAAGCAAGAAGGCACUGUACCUUUCCCCCACUGGCAGACAGAGAAACUCUAACUCUCCCGCCCUAUUUUCAUCCAUUUAAAUUCAUUUCCUUUCUCUCAGGUUUUCUGUAUCUUGGUUUGGAAUGAAUCUGGUACACGGCUCCUGAGUCAAGAGGUCAAGAAGACACGUGGUUUUAUGAUGCAACAAUGGGCAGCCACUCUGUUUUGUUUUGGGAACCUCAGUGACAUCACAGACUAACCCUUGUACCUUGGGACCUUGUAUGUAAGAAAACAUUGAGUCAGAAGAGAGCGUUAGUCAUAGGGCUACUGAAACACAAGGUGACGAGAACUAUUAGGCAAUUGAGUGCAUUCCCUGCAGGGCUGCUCCCACUUCUAUCUGACUUGGGUCUAGAUGACUCAAGUGAUUCCCGAGGGGAAAAUAAUCUAUGUGGAACAGCUGUCAUGAGCAGGCCUUCUGCUGCUCUUCAGCCUCAAUUUCAGCCUGCUACUUCCCGUGACAUCAUUCAGUGAUUCCUCCCUUUAAGGGGACAGUUUUCUCUUGUAUUACAGCUGUCUGCCUACGGAAGGCUCCAGAGUCCCUGACGCAUAUUUAUAUCUCCACUUCACUGAAGUCACAAGGAACAAACACACACCUGCCAUUUCCCAAAUCUCAUAAAACAUAUAAAUGGAUGAGACCAAAGAGAGGCAUGAGAUUCCAUUCUUAUGGUUCACAGGAAGCACCUGGCACACAGUAACUAUUAUUAAUUUCUGCACUGGAGGCAUCAGGAAAGCCUUCACGCUAUAGGGGGCCCUUUUAAGUUAAGAAGUUGGAGAGCAAGCCUCGGGGAAAGCAAAGAGAUAACUUAGUAGAAUGGAGCAACCAUACGGGAACAGUGAGAGUCCAUGGAUCUCCCUGGGCUAAGAUCAUGUAUGGAUUUGGCAAUCUGGGGUGGAAGCCACAUGUGCUGUUAUUAAGUGGAAAUGUCUCGUGAACAUGUGGAAAGUGAUGACUGGAACUUCAGAUGAAAGUCAAAGCUGGAGAUAGGAGAUUCAGAAGUCACCCCACCAAAGAAGGAAUGGUUAAAGCUAUAAGAACUAAUGAGAUCCUAUUUAUUUGCUUAUUCAAUCAACAUAUGUAGAACUAAAUGCUAAGAAUGUAAUGAUAAAUAAGACAGAAAGGGACCUUGCCCAUAUGGUAUUUACAAUCUACUGCCAGUUCAUAAUCUCCUAAAAAAUAAUGUAGAGAACAAUAACAGAAUCAAAGAAAUCUUGAACGUCUAUAUUUAAGGGGUUGAAUGUAAAAGAAAAGGCCUUAAAGGAGGCAGAAAAAUAGCAAUGAGAAAAGUUUGGGAAUUCUAAAACAAGACAGUAUUUCAGAGGAAGAAAACGCAGGUAAUACAUGGGCAAGUUUCACACACAGAGGUGAUGCAUCCUGGUGACCAAUAUUACAAGGAAGAGAGAUGAUGACUGAGGACAGGCUGGUGGACUUGAUUUGAGGUCAACGGUAUGAGGAUAAUUUCAGCAGAGUGGUGGGAUGGAGCGAAACAGCAGGUGUGUCAAUAAUGAGUUAAGCUUUGAGAAAGGGGAGACUUCAGAUGCAGACAACUCAUUCCUGAAUCUGUGCUUCAAAAACAAGAAAAAGCCCAAGAUGUCAGGAUAUCUGCAGGGUCAAGCAAAGCAUUUUUUUCACGAUGGUAAUAGGUAAAAGAGAUUUCUCUAGCCCGCUGGUCUAAGGAUCAGACAGAGGGUGGAGGUGCUUGAUAAGGAUGGUCAUGGCAUUUUUUGCAGACUGAAAUGAUAUUUGAAAACUAAAUGCUAGCCUGUGUUACAGCUACUUACCCGCUGAGGAUCAAACGUACAUUUAUUUGCCCUAUUGCCCAACUUAUGGCUAUGCCAGUAAUGUCCUCUUUUUUUCCUUAUCAUUUCUUUUCAGCUUGUUUUCCCAAACUGUGGUGUUGCCUUGCCCUUGAGAACCCAGCUGAGGUCUAGACUGUUUCAUGGAUCACCUAAGCUUGGAGCUACAGUUGGGCUGCAAAGUUGUUCCUCUAGUGCUGAUACAAGAACAUAGCUGGUCCUCUUGUUCAUAGUGGUAAAAUAUUUUUAAAAUCUGACAUAAACACAACAUAUUAAUUACAGAAAUGAUGGAGAGAGAAUAAAGCUGGGACCCCAC
rnacentral:lncRNA from 1 species